UGAUGACGCAGCUACGGCCAUGUUAGAUUGGGAGCUCAGUGACUCCCUCCCCAGACAUCAGUAGGCCUGGUAGAUUCCUUUUAUCCCAGCUCACUCGCUCUUGCACCAUAAUCUCACAGAUUUCUGGAGGGAAUGACAAACGAAUGUGACUUCCUGAGACCCGCUUGCAAUCUUCUCGCAGUACCUGUGCACCAGUCUCACCCUGCCGCAGGAAAAGCAGCAUCUACCCUCGUCUCUGUUCAGAACAGCUUUGGGGCAGAGAUGGGGCCUGAAGUACCGCUCAUCUCUCCAUCUCUAUUUCCUACCCUGGAAAAUGUAAUCAUUAGACCUGACCAGCGAUGCUGAGAGUGUAGCCAACAGAUCAGCUGACUGAAUUCUUGGGCCUCAAUUCUGCCCUGGGACUCAGAAACUCGGGGAAAAGAAACUGACAGUCUCCACUUUGGAAAGGCUCUUCGGAUGCUACUGACAUUUCAGAACAUCUAGACAAGCCCUGCACUCCUCCAUAGCUCCAUCCAUGAUUGUGUUUUCCUCUCUGCCACAAUUUAAAGGCUUGUCCGGUACCUCAUCUGCAGGUUCAAUCAACUGCAGAGGAGAAAAAAAAAAAUCUUUGAAAGAUAAUUACAUCUGUACUGAGCAAAUACUGACUUUUUUUUCUCAUUAUUAUUCUCUCAACAAUACAGUCUAACAACUAUUUACAUAGCAUUUACAUUGUAUUAGGUAUUAUAAGGAAUCUAGAGAUGAUUUAUACUCUAUGGGAGAAUUGGCUACUGCUGCAAGAUAUCUCACCUGGCAUAAUUUGCACAUUCUGAUUUCUGACCUGAACAAGACGGCUCAAGUUGUCUCUCCACCAGUCUAACACCGUGCUGCCUUCCACCCUACUCUAGGCAGUUUCUAUCUUCCACAGACUUGACUCUACCACUUUAAUGAAAGAACAUAAAUUCAUUUCCCAAGAAGUCUAUGUGAG
rnacentral:lncRNA from 1 species